UAUAUAUAUUUGUAUACCCAUAUGAUUAUUGUAACAAAUGUGUAUAGGUACUUUAAGAAAAUACAAAUCGUUUUUUUUUUUUUUUUUUUGGUUUUUGAGGAAAAAAAAAACAUUUUAAAAAGGCUGUCAUUUACGUCAACUAUGUAUAACGAUUAAACGCUUAAGUAUUAUUAUUAUUAUUAUUAUUAUUAUUAUUAUUGUACGGUAGAGUUAAUGUAACAAAAAGGUUGAAAAACCUAUGAAAUUAUCGUGCUACAUUAUGCAAUAGCGUUCACGCAUAAGGAUUUACGAUAAUAUGAUGUUGUGUACGAUUUCCCGUUUUUACGCGUCCGCGCCCGAAACGCCAUUCCAUUAUUAUUAUUAUUAUCAUUAUUAUUAUUUGAACUCUGCAAACGGGGGGGGGGGGGGGUGGGCUGGGAGUGUGAGGGGGAGAGGAGAGAAAACCAAUAAACAAAUUUUCGAAAAUACACCGCGUUCCUAUAUAUAUGUAUAAAUAUAUACGUACAUUUGGUCGUAUGCUGUUUGUACCAUCCGACAUGUUUUUACCCCGUUCGGCGGCUGUACUCGCGAAUAGUAAAAAAAAAAAAAAUAAAAAAAAAACAAAACAAAAAAAACAAUGACGACGCCCGGUCGGUAAGGCCGCGAGACACGGAUAACGGAAUAACAUACACUUUCGUUUUCUAUCUUUAUUGUCGUUACGAUUACUGUUAAUGAUUUUUUCUUUUUCGCCCCGGCGUCCCGUUGCCCGUACGCGACGUCGUCGCGCAAAAUUUAACCGGCCGGGCGCGAUACGAAACGAGCGAAAAAUAAACAAAAAAAAAAAAAUUCCAAUCGAAACAGUUACCGUUCGAAUAGUUUUUGUUCCGUCUCUCGCGAUUUUUCGGUUUUUUUUCCCUCCGAAUCCACAAUGGCGAUUCCGCCGCACGCCGCAGUCGUCGUCGCGCGCGCGUCCCGUCCGUUCGCUUUUCGUUCCGCCCGCGGGCAAACCGUACGGUAACGGCAAGACCGUCCACGUCGCCGCCCGCGACAGUCACCAAAACGCGACAUUUACACCCGACCGCACGACGAUCGCCGGUCGGGGCGGGGCCGCGGUUCGAAACGGUACGCACAGUCCCGCGCCGCGGGCGUAAUUUUUAAUUUUUUCUUUUUUUUUUUUUUUUAUCCCUAUUGCUGUUCAUUUCCAGUCGGAUUCGAUAUUUUUUCUCUUGCGUCCUUCACUCUAUACUGUGCAUUACGGUUAUUAUUAUUGCAACUGUGUUAUCGACCGUCGACGCGCGUAUACGCGGUUUCCGCGGUUUUGUACCGCGCGGCAGUAUGCCGGGAGCGCUUCUAAAAUAAAUAUCGUUUUUAUUCCGAGUAUACGCGACCUAAACGAUUGCCGUCGCACGGCCAUAUUGUUAUUAAUAUCCGGAAAACUCGAUGGUAAAAAACAAAAAAACAAAAAAAAAAAAUUAAUAACAAUACAGAACCUACUACGAGUCCUACGAGUAUCGCGGUUAUUAUCGUACACGAAUAUAUACGUCUCAUGUAUACGAUUAAAUAUUACAAUAGUAUAUUAAGUAUUUAGUGUUAAGUAUUAUGAAAAAAAAAAAAAAAAAACCAUUUGUUGGAAAAACAAAACAAAAAAAAAAAAUAAUAACAAAAACCCGACAAUUUCACUCGUGUUCUACCGGUUCGUCCGGGCAUAAUAAAUGCAACGACACGACCCACUCAUUUGUAGGAUUUCGACUAUAUUUCAUUAUUAUUAUUUUUUAUUUAUUUUUUUUUUUUUUUUUUUUUUUUUUUUUUUUGUUUACAAGGUUACUAUUACGAUAUAAUAUUAUUAUUAUUAUUAUUAUUGUCAUUAUUAUUAUUAUUAUUAUUAUUAUUAUUAUUUUGUUUUUCAUUUUAAGUAUUAUCGAACUAUAUACGUCAUUAUAAUAUUAUUAUUAUUAUUAUUAUUAUUAUAUAUAUAAAAAAAAAAUCCUUUUGUACAUAAUAUAUUUUAAUUUUCAAAUAUAUACAUAUAUAUAUAUAUAUAUAUAUAUACAUAAAUAUACAUAAUAAAUACAGCGUUAACUACAUCCGACGGUACGAUAUUAUUG